rnacentral:rRNA from 1 species
UACGGAAGGUGCAAGCGUUGUUCGGAAUGACUGGGCGUAAAGCGCACGUAGGCGGUCUUGCAAGUCGGAUGUGAAAUCCCCGGGCUCAACCCGGGAACUGCAUCCGAAACUGCUUGACUUGAAUGCUUGAGAGGUUGGUGGAAUUCCAGGUGUAGGAGUGAAAUCCGUAGAUAUCUGGAGGAACAUCGGUGGCGAAGGCGACCAACUGGCAAUGCAUUGACGCUGAGGUGCGAAAGUGCGGGGAGCAAAC